rnacentral:rRNA from 1 species
GACGAACCGUGCGAACGUUGUUCGGAAUCACUGGGCUUAAAGGGCGCGUAGGCGGGCACGCAAGUCAGGGGUGAAAGCCCACGGCUCAACCGUGGAAGGGCCUUUGAUACUGCGUGUCUGGAGGGAGGUAGGGGCGUGCGGAACUUCCGGUGGAGCGGUGAAAUGCGUAGAUAUCGGAAGGAACACCGGUGGCGAAAGCGGCGCGCUGGACCUCAUCUGACGCUGAUGCGCGAAAGCCAGGGGAGCGAACGGG